UAUAAUCAAUCAUAGGAUGAAGUUCUGGUUUGCUUGAUAUAACACCUCCUGAAUAAUCAUUUUUGUAAUACCAUAUUUUAUUUCCAAGACUUUUAAUCUUAAUUGGAAUUUGUCCUAGUGUAAGAGCUAAACUUAACUUAUAUCCAUCAA
ensembl:ncRNA Y40C7B.8 ncRNA